CCUGAGACUGGGUCGGCCAUGGACCCCGAAGCAGGAGAACCUGGGGCUGAAUAUUCAGGUUUGAUGUUCUGGAAGGUUCCAGAGAGUUCUGGGUCUCUGGAGGCCCCCAGCUCCCUAGGGCCCAUAGCCACUCGCCCUGGGGAGAUGCCACCCUGACAGCCCUCAUCCUCCUGCCGUCCACGGCCGUGGGACAGUUGACUGCCCAGUGCCUGCUGGCCAGCUCUCUUCCUGGCCACCGGUCAUCCUGAGGAGUGUGUGACCACAGAGUGCUCCUGCCGCCCCCAGUCCAGCUCUGACUUCCGGCUGUCCCUCCACAAGCUCAAGACCAGGAAACAGCUCAGGAGCCCCUCAGCAAGGGGGAGUGGGGACAUCAAGGUGGCAGGGGAGACAGAGACAGAGACAGAGAGGACGGAUGGAAGGAGUGGCAGAGGAGAGAGAGCCCAGAGGCGGGGCUGUGAGGGACUGGCCAGUCCGAAGAGGACAGAGCACGCCAGAAUCCCGAGGCCGAGCAGAACAGUGGCGGCUGGAUAUAGUGGGGAGGUGCUGCUAGCCUGCCCACCUCUACCCUGCCCCGGGUGGGCCACAGGUGAAUCGGGGGCCCUGCACCAGCCGGCCUGGCCGGGACAAAGACCCUUUGAAAUCGGGAUCAAAUGCUGGGUUUCCCUGGAGUCCCGCCAUGGGCAGGACGGGGCAGCAGAACAGCCCCUGGAAGCUACUUCAAAGGCCCCCGGGUUGUGGGGAGCCUUCCUGGCCCCAGGAGGAGGCUUGGGGAGGCCAACUCUUCAGCCCAGCCAGGCUGACCU
rnacentral:lncRNA from 1 species